rnacentral:lncRNA from 1 species
GAUUUCAUGGAGGCCCGGGGCCGCGGGCGCUGUUCUCCUUCCUGUGCCGAGUGUGGUUUGCUAUCAAGCGGUGGCAGUUCAGCCACAAUCAGGGGCAGGGGGAGGGAGAGGCCCCCCGAAGAGGCAGAGGCCCUGCCUCGGCCGCCCUGAGCCUGGAAGCAUCAUGUUGCCUUUUAAUAUGGAGCAUGUGCCAUAGCUCUCCAGGAGAACCCCUCUGUGUCACAGCGAACCUCAGUCACUGACACUCAAAAGAAGGAAUUAUUUCAACUCAAUAAUAAACAAAUAACCCUAUUUUAAAAUCAGCAAAGGGUGUUACCACAUUUCCACAGAAGGUAUACAAAUGGCCAGUAAUCAUGUGAAAAGAUGCUUGAUAUCAUUUGUCAUCAGGGAAAUGCAAAUCAAAACUGCAAUGAGAGGCCAGGCGCUGUGGCUCACACCUGUAAUCCCAGCGCUUUGGGAGGCUGAGGCAGGUGGAUCGCUUGAGCCCAGGAGUUCAAACCCAGCCUGACCAACAUGGUGAAACCCCGUCUCUACAAAAAAAUACAAAAAUUAGCCGGGCACAGUGGCCUGUGCCUGUAAUCCCAGCUACUCAGGAGGCUGAGGCAGGAGACUCACUUGAACCCAGGAGGCAGAGGUUGCAGUGAGCCGAGAUUGUGCCAUUGCACUCCAGCCUGGGUGACGGGAGUGAAACCCUGUCUAAAAAAACCCCAAAAACAAAAACUACAAUGACAUAUCACUUUAUAUGCACUAGGAUGCCUAGCAUCAAAAGGUCAAAUAAAACAAGUAUGUGGAGAAACUGCGACCCUCAUACACUGCUGGUGGGAAUGUAAGAUGGUGCAGAAACUUUGGAAAGGAGUCUGGCAGCUCCUCAAAAGCUGGGACCACAGGUGCCUGCCACCACACCCGACUAAUUUUUUGUAUUUUUGGUAGAGAUGGGGUUUCUGCCCAGGCUGGUCUUGAACUUCUGAGCUCAAGCGAUCCACCCGCCUCAGCCUCCCAAAGUGCUGGGAAUACUGGCUUGAGCCACUGCGCCCAGCUAUGCAGUGGAACAUUUCUCAGCCAUAGAAGAGAAUAAAGUACUGAUACAUGCUACAACAGGGACAAACUUUGAAAACAUUAUGCUAAGUGAAAAAAGUCAGUCACAAAUGAUCACAUGUUACAUGAUUUCAUUUACAUGAAUUGUUCAGAGAAGGCAAAUCUGUAGAGAGAGAAAGAUUAGUGGUUACCUAGGUCUGGGGGUUUGGGGGAAAAUGGGAGUGACUGGUAAUGGGUAUGGGGUUUCCUUUUGAGGUUAUGAAAAUGUUCUAAAAUUGUGGUGAUGGUUUCAUGAGUAUGUGAACAUGCUAAAAGCAAUUGCCUUGUACACAUUAAAUGCGUAAAUUAUAUGGUAGAUGAGUUAUAGCUCAAUAAAGCUGUUCUAUAAAAAUAAACCACUGGGCACUGUGGCUCACGCCUGUAAUCCCAGCACUUUGGGAGGCCGAGGCAGGCAGAUCACCUGAGGUCAGGAGUUCGAGACCAGCCUGACCAACAUGGUGAAACCCUGUUUCUACUAAAAAUACAAAAUUAGUUGGGUGUGGUGGUGCAUGCUUGUAAUCCCAGCUACUCAGGAGGCUGAGACAGGAGAAUCACUUGAACCUGGGAGGUGGAGGUUGCAAAUGAGCCGAGAUCACGCCAGAAAAAAAGAAUAGGUUAACAUAGACUCAGUAUACAAGAAAGGGAAGUGUGGCGGCUCACAUCUGUAAUCCCCGUGAAGUGGGAUUUGUUUAACAUUUUUUGAAAAUCAGAAUAAAAAAGAUUAGUGCUUAAACUGAUACUCUCUAGUUAUUUGGAAAAUACAUUUAUGUAAAACAUGUGUUUUCCUAUUAUAGUCUAAAUUAGAACAUUGGAGCACCUAGCAACAUCUUAAAGCUAGUUAAACAGAAUGACAUCAUAUUUUGACCAUACUGUUUUGAAAUUGUGCAGUUUCUCUUUGUAUCUCUAGAGUGAUUCAUGAAUAUGUAUUUGGCUUCUCAAAUUAAAAAUAUUUCACUGCUAUUGAACUAUUCCUUUAAUAUCUGUAUAAAUGUUUUUAAGUAUUAUAUUUUGAGGAUUUUGAAGCUUUAGGUUUCUUAUUUAAAAUACAAUUAUCGGCCAGGCAUGGUGGCUCACACCUGUAAUCCCAGCACUUUGGGAGGCCGAGGCGGGUGAAUCACAAGGUCAAGAGAUCAAAACCAUUCUGGCCAACAUGGUGAAACCCCGUCUCUACUAAAAAUACAAAAAAAGUUUAGCCAGGCGUGGUCGUGGGCACCUGUAGUCCCAGCUACUCAGGAGGCUGAAGCAGGAGAAUGAUGUGAACCCAGGAGGCGUAGGUUGCAGUGAGCUGAGAUCGCACCACUGCACUCCAGCCUGGCAACAGAGCGAGACUCUGUCUCAAAAAAAUACAAUAAUAAAAUAAAAUAAAAAAUAAAAUAAAAUAUAGAAUCAUCUGGGCCAGGCACGGUGGCCCAUGCCUGUAAUCCCAGUACUUUGGGAGGCUGAGGUAGGUGGAUCCCUUGAGCUCAAGAGAUUGAAACCAGCCUAGGCAACAUGGUGAAACCCCAUAUCUACAAAAAUACAAAAUGCAAAAGAAUUAGCCAGGCAUGGUGGCACGCGCCUGUUGUCCCAGCUACUCGGGAGGCUAAGGCGAAAGGAUCAUUUGCACCCAGAAAGUCGAGGCUGCAGUGAGCCAAGAUUGCGCCACUGCACUCAAGCCUGGGUGACAAAGCGAGACCCUGUCUCAAAAACAAAACAAAAUUUUAAAAUUGCCACAAUUAUCCUUAAUCUUAUGUUGGAGAUGAUUACUAGGGAGAUCAUUAAUAUAUAA